UACGUAGGGUGCGAGCGUUGUCCGGAAUUAUUGGGCGUAAAGGGCUCGUAGGCGGUUUGUCGCGUCGGGAGUGAAAACCUCGGGCUUAACUCGGGGCUUGCUUUCGAUACGGGCAGACUGGAGGUAUGCAGGGGAGAACGGAAUUCCUGGUGUAGCGGUGAAAUGCGCAGAUAUCAGGAGGAACACCGGUGGCGAAGGCGGUUCUCUGGGCCUGUACUGACGCUGAGGAACGAAAGCGUGGGGAGCGAACAGG
rnacentral:rRNA from 1 species